rnacentral:rRNA from 1 species
GAUGAACGCUGGCGGCGUGCCUAAUACAUGCAAGUCGAGCGAACAGACGAGGAGCUUGCUCCUCUGACGUUAGCGGCGGACGGGUGAGUAACACGUGGAUAACCUACCUAUAAGACUGGGAUAACUUCGGGAAACCGGAGCUAAUACCGGAUAAUAUCUUGAACCGCAUGGUUCAAUAGUGAAAGACGGUUUUGCUGUAACUUAUAGAUGGAUCCGCGCCGCAUUAGCUAGUUGGUAAGGUAACGGCUUACCAAGGCAACGAUGCGUAGCCGACCUGAGAGGGUGAUCGGCCACACGGGAACUGAGACACGGUCCAGACUCCUACGGGAGGCAGCAGUAGGGAAUCUUCCGCAAUGGGCGAAAGCCUGACGGAGCAACGCCGCGUGAGUGAUGAAGGUCUUCGGAUCGUAAAACUCUGUUAUUAGGGAAGAACAAAGGUGUAAGUAACUAUGCACGUCUUGACGGUACCUAAUCAGAAAGCCACGGCUAACUACGUG